rnacentral:lncRNA from 1 species
CAGCUGUAGGCUUGAGGGGACAGCCCGCAGGACCACGGACCCGCCCACUCGGGCAGACCUCCACCCUUCAGGGUCUCUGCGUGGCUCCACAGGCACCGUGAGCCCCUGUCCUCACUGUCCCCCCCCAGGCCCCGCUGCCCGCCCUGGGGCCGCCUCUGCUCCACCUGGGCGCAGACCCAGCUGCCCUGCAGGCGCUGGUGACCUCCGGGUCGUCUCCCUUCCCCCCUGGGCAGAACAGGGCCGCGUGGCCCUGGGAGCUGGGGCAGAGGGGCGGAAGGCCCAGGGGACCCUGGAGCAUCCCCCGGGCUGCCUGUGCUGGCGGAGGGCGGCCCAGGCCGUGGAGGGUGGACAGGAGCCAGAGUCCAGUCUGGGGCCGGGCCUCCGAGCUCUGCAGGGCGCUGCGCACCUCCCCGGCUCCCUGGCCCCCAGCCCCCAGGCCUCCUGGUCUCGGGGACCUCACCGCUCCCCACCUCAGUGCGGGCUCUUCGGCCCCACCCCACCGUCCCCAGGGGCUGCCCAGCGGGGUUGUCCCCGGCUCCUUCCUCAGCUGGAAGGCCACGGCCCUCCUUCCUGUGCGCGCCUGUCCAGUGGCUCUGGCCGAUGUGCUCAGCGUGGCCCGCGAGGCCUUGGCCCAGGCCAGAGGCCUGACCUGGGGAGGGCACCCUGACGGGACCUCUGAGGAGUGGCCAGGAGAGGGCGGUCAGAGCUCCAGGGCCAAGACCCAGGCCCCCCCCCCGCCCCCGAGGCGGAAGGACCCUGGGGGCAGCGGGCAGGACUCCAGCCUCCACGGGGACCAGCGCGGGUGGAGGCUCCCCAGGCCUGGAGGUGCUCGGUCCAGGCUGAGCCGCGGCACCAGAGGGGCUGGACCGGGUGGGACUUGGGGACACUUCUGGCUCCACAUGGAGGAGUUUCCAAGGAACCUGGGCUCCCGCCUCGGGGUGUCAGACGUGACUUUCCCGGGGAUCCCACCUCCACUGUGGAAUCCAGAAAUCUUCCGACACAGACUGGAGGCCAUCGCCGGUGCCGUCGCCGGUCGUCCGCAUGCCGUCCUGCGCGGGCUGCUGCCUGCCAGCUGCGCAGCCUCGGGCCCGGCCACCUCUCAGCUCCCUACUGGCCAGGCUGUAGGGAGCCUGUGGAAGUUCCUGAGUGAGUGGGCGUGUUCCAUGUGGAACCUGUGCCUGGUCGGGUGGGUCGGGGAGGACCGUUGGAAUCGGUGUGGCAGGCAACCCCUGUUGGUCCCAAAGCAGGACGCCUGGGGAAUGGAGGGCAGGGUGGAGGGCUGGGGCAGGGUCUCCCUGGACCACCGAGGGGGCUGGGGGGAGGGGAGUCGCAGGCAGGGCGCUGAGCGAGGGCUGGGUGGGUGGGGGUGCCGUGUGCCCGUGUGUGGUUGUGUGCACGCAGGUGCACGUUGUCAGGUGGCUGGGCCUCCCCUGUGCACACCUGCUUUCUGCUGUCACAGCAAGAGGACAAGCUCCGGCGAGUCUCCGGCCAAGGACAGAGGAGCUCUUCGUUUCCGGGGCCUCCGCGUGACUGCUGUCCAAGCUCUUCCUUCUCCAAAACGAGAAACCAAGUCGCCUCUCCAGCACUUGGAGACCGAUCUCUUUCAAACGAACGUCCCGAGAAGCGACUCCCUGGAGCAGGAAGGGGGCCUGCCAGGAGCAGGGCCCAUGGACGCCCAAAGGCAGGGGCCCUGGUCCAGCGGCCCUGGUCCUGCUGCGCGGGCCCCUCUGCUGCAGGCCGCCCAGGAUGGGGUCCCUGCAGCCUCACCCCCGUCCCCAGCUUGCCCCGUCCCUCGGCCACAGCCUUCCCUGGGGUGGGACUGGGGACUUGGGGACAUGCCCAUCUGCCCGUCCUGAGACCGUCCAGGGCAGGACUUUUCCCAGGCCACACAGACAGGGAGAGGAGCCAGGUCAUCCUGGGUCCAGCGCCUGGGC